ACAACAAAAAUAUCAUCACAUUGAGCAUUUUUGCUAGUGCUUCUGUUCUAAUGCUAUUGAUGUCAAAGAUUGA